AUACGGAGGGUGCGAGCGUUAAUCGGAAUUACUGGGCGUCAAGCGCGCGUAGGCGGCUUUGUAAGUCGGAUGUGAAAGCCCUGGGCUCAACCUGGGAAUUGCACUCGAUACUGCAGAGCUAGAGUAUGGUAGAGGGAAGUGGAAUUUCCGGUGUAGCGGUGAAAUGCGUAGAUAUCGGAAGGAACACCAGUGGCGAAGGCGACUUCCUGGGCCAAUACUGACGCUGAGGUGCGAAAGCGUGGGGAGCAAACGGGAUUAGAUACCCCGGUAGUCC
rnacentral:rRNA from 1 species